UACGAGUGCCUCAAGCGUUAUCCGGAAUUAUUGGGCGUAAAGGGUGUGUAGGCGGCUUUGUUAGUCUGAUGUAAAACCCCUGGGCUCAACCCAGGAUCUGCGUCGGAAACGGCAAGGCUCGAGUAUGUGAGAGGUGAAUGGAACUCUAAGUGUAGGGGUGAAAUCCGUUGAUAUUUAGGGGAACACCAAAUGCGAAGGCAAUUCACUGGCGCAAUACUGACGCUGAAACACGAAAGCGUGGGUAGCGAAUGGG
rnacentral:rRNA from 1 species